GACGAACGCUGGCGGCGUGCUUAACACAUGCAAGUCGAGCGGUAAGGCCCUUUCGGGGGUACACGAGCGGCGAACGGGUGAGUAACACGUGGGUGACCUGCCCUCAGCUCUGGGAUAAGCCUGGGAAACCGGGUCUAAUACCGGAUAUGACUCCAUGACGCAUGUUGUGGGGUGGAAAGCCUUGUGCGGCUGAGGAUGGGCCCGCGGCCUAUCAGCUUGUUGGUGGGGNGAUGGCCUACCAAGGCGACGACGGGUAGCCGGCCUGAGAGGGCGACCGGCCACACUGGGACUGAGACACGGCCCAGACUCCUACGGGAAACAGCAGUGGGGAAUAUUGGACAAGUGGGGGCAACCCUGAUCCAGCAAUGCCGCGUGAGUGAUGAAGGCCUUAGGGUUGUAAAGCUCUUUUACCGGGGACGAUGAUGACGGUACCCGGAGAAUAA
rnacentral:rRNA from 1 species